AUUGAACGCUGGCGGCAGGCCUAACACAUGCAAGUCGAGCGGAUGAAGGGAGCUUGCUCCUGGAUUCAGCGGCGGACGGGUGAGUAAUGCAUAGGAAUCUGCCUGGUAGUGGGGGAUAACGUCCGGAAACGGGCGCUAAUACCGCAUACGUCCUGAGGGAGAAAGGGGGGGAUCUUCGGACCUCACGCUAUCAGAUGAGCCUAGGUCGGAUUAGCUAGUUGGUGGGGUAAAGGCCUACCAAGGCGACGAUCCGUAACUGGUCUGAGAGGAUGAUCAGUCACACUGGAACUGAGACACGGUCCAGACUCCUACGGGAGGCAGCAGUGGGGAAUAUUGGACAAUGGGCGAAAGCCUGAUCCAGCCAUGCCGCGUGUGUGAAGAAGGUCUUCGGAUUGUAAAGCACUUUAAGUUGGGAGGAAGGGCAGUAAGUGAAUACCUUGCUGUUUUGACGUUACCAACAGAAUAAGCACCGGCUAACUUCGUG
rnacentral:rRNA from 1 species